rnacentral:rRNA from 1 species
UACGUAGGUGGCAAGCGUUGUCCGGAUUUACUGGGCGUAAAGAGCGCGCAGGCGGUCGUUCAAGUCGCGUGUGAAAGCCCCCGGCUCAACUGGGGAGGGUCACGCGAUACUGAUCGACUCGAAGGCAGGAGAGGGAAGUGGAAUUCCCGGUGUAGUGGUGAAAUGCGUAGAUAUCGGGAAGAACACCCGUGGCUAAGGCGGCUCUCUAGUACGGUACUGACGCUGAGACGCGAAAGCGUGGGGAGCGAACAGG